ensembl:lncRNA TACR3-AS1 TACR3 antisense RNA 1
UAUAGAGGUGGCAUAAAUCUGGAGGUUCUGCAAAGUCUUCCCAGAGGUGAAGUAUUCAGGCUGAUCUGGAACUCUGGCUGGAUAAUGGAGAAGAGCAAUCUGGGCACUGUUACCACUGGGCAGAAUGACAUGGCGGCCAUGCCCUCUUCAUGAUCUCUUGUUGUGAUCUAUCACUGGGACAGAAGGAAGGUAAAAUUCUGAGAUUUUGGAGGAAGAAGUUGGCCCAUAGAAGAAUCAUCCAGUUAGAACCCCAAGAUCAUUAUUUGGGGCAUCUAAUUAUUAAUGUGGGAUGCUUUAUAAAGUGUGUAUGGGGGUCUUGAAAGAUAAAGCCUGUGCCUCUCUCAGUGAAUUCUUAAAUUUUCCCUUCCUUCUGCAUUUUGAAUUUGAACCAAGAAAAUGGAACAACAUUGUAUGUUUCCAGUGAAGAUAAAAACAUCUGUUGAAUAUCUUGAGUCUAGAAAAUAACAUUGAAAAUAUAGUGGUUGAGGACCAAUUCCUCAUCCUGAAGUUUACAAUGUAAUGAAAAAAAGGAAAUGUAUAAUUUUAAUAAAAAUGCAUGCAUUGAAAUGUGAUGGUGCAGCAAGAGGCUUUAGAAAUUCCUGUUGCAGAGAUUUAUAUAAGACUGCCACAUCUUACUGGAGAAUGAUGAAAUAAUGAAGCAGAAAUAAUCUGAAGAUAAUACCUGAGAAUCAAAAGGGAUAAAGUAAUCACAGUGCAUUAUUCCACUAGUUCUAAAUGUUUUCAAAUAAAAAAAGAUUAAAGACAGGCUUGAGAGGCAUACAAAUGAUUUCGACAAAGCCAUAAAUUUGAAAAUAUGCUGAGUAA